AGUCUGCAGCCAGCCUGGGCUAUAUAUAGCAAGACUCUGACUCAAAAAAUAAAACAAACUUUGCACACAUAGAAGUCACAGGCAGAAAGCCAAAAGGAAAGCCUGUGGCCUAACCAUUGGAGAGACCUGAAGGCUGAUUGAAAGACACAGCAACAUCGUGGCUAGCGUCUUUAAGGUCUAGUGUGCUUGCUCGGGCCUGCAUGCUUGCUUGCAAUAACAUUCCUGUUUGUUAUGGGCCUUCCUGCCCUGCCGCACCUGCGUCCAACAGCUGUUCUUGGUUUUGAUGACAUUAUUGGGCUCUGCCUGUAGAACUCUUCCCUGUCCCUGAGUGUCCCGAGGCAGAGACUCUGUCCUUUGUAUAUAUGACGGGUUAACCUUCUGUCACUCUCCCUACUUACUGAAGAAGACAGCUAGUGGCCUGCCAAUCACAGGACAUCAGGUCCCAGGAUGCACAGUGCCCAGCAUCUCCUCCAGAUUCAGCUUUGACACCUCCCUGCAGAGGGCUUACUCCAAUCCCAGGACUUCCAGGUGAAUCAGAAGAAAAGAUAUAAUUCUCAUUGGCAAAGAAGAAAUAAAUGGAAGUACAGCAUCCCACAACUACCAAGACCCAGGAGCAUAAGCCCUUGGCAGUGUGAGCAGAGGGAGCCACAUCUCAGCUAGCAAGCUUGAAUAGGAUCUGCUGUAACUCUACACAGCCCAAAGUUCGCCAUGCCCUCAGGUGUUGUGUCUAUGUCGGUUCAAAGCCUACACUGCACAAAGGAGUGACCAUAAACUACUUUGGGAAGGAAGAACUGCCCAGCCAUAGCCAAACUGCUGAAAGACAAAGAGAAAGAUUG